CUUGAGCGAGCCCAGCCACAGCGGCUGCGCACGGUCCUGGCCGUAGGUGGCGAGCACGGCGUUGGCCUC
rnacentral:antisense_RNA from 1 species